CACAAAAUAUUUUCAGCAAGAAUGUAAGCCAUAUUACAACAACUUACUACACCCAUUUCAGCCAACAUAGAAACUAAGGUACUUUCAACAUCUAGAUACUAUGAUAAUAUUUACACUUGUGUACUGCAGUAGUUUUCUUCCUCCUUGAACUGCCUUCAGUCUUGCUGCUAAAGUCUUUUGUGUAACAACUGAUUGCCUUACAUAAAAUAUGAUCUAUCAGCCAUAAAGAGAAGUACAUAAAACUGAAGUGACAAGUGAUAGCAAAAACAUUGCUUCAUUUUAGCUAAUGUGACAAAGUGAUAACAAAUGUGUUGAAACAGAGUGAUAGCUAAAGUCAAAGUGGUGAAACAAACUUCUACUAAUUUUCUCCCAGAUUGCCACACACCUUCCUGCCUGCCUUUGAGUGCAGUAGUAGAAUUGUCGUUGCACCACUAACCUUGAAGUCUGUAAAAUGUAACAACAUCAUACCCAAUUAUCAAAUCAAAUCUUCACAACCAACACAAACAAACUCCAGAAUAUAUAAGCUUAAUUUCAACUCCUUAAAAAUUAGAUGAAGCAGCAACUUACAGCAAUAUACAAGCAGCAACUUAAAUGCAAUCUAAAUUCAUUUUUACAUUAUCCCCACAACUAUCAAUUGCAUGGUUCAUAGCAUCCAUAAUAAACAACAGUUCCCUGAGAAUAAAUUUAAAAGAACAAUUAAGUCCAUACUCAAUACAAAAAAGUCUUUGAAACUAUUAACCAAUAUUUAAACUUUAAAUCUUUUCUCAAACUCAUCCUCAACAUCAUGGGUCUAUCAGAAAGUUAUCAACAUGAAUCCUUGCUUAAGAGAAAUAGAGAGCUAUAAUACAAUUAUUUACACUUUGGAGUUAGGAGACAUACCAGAUUUUAAGUACUGGACAACUUUUGUUCCUUUAAAAUUUGGAAAAAUAAGUAAUACUUGUC
rnacentral:lncRNA from 1 species